rnacentral:rRNA from 1 species
AUUGAACGCUGGCGGCAUGCCUUACACAUGCAAGUCGAACGGCAGCACGGGUGCUUGCACCUGGUGGCGAGUGGCGAACGGGUGAGUAAUACAUCGGAACAUGUCCUGUAGUGGGGGAUAGCCCGGCGAAAGCCGGAUUAAUACCGCAUACGAUCUACGGAUGAAAGCGGGGGACCUUCGGGCCUCGCGCUAUAGGGUUGGCCGAUAGCUGAUUAGCUAGUUGGUGGGGUAAAGGCCUACCAAGGCGACGAUCAGUAGCUGGUCUGAGAGGACGACCAGCCACACUGGGACUGAGACACGGCCCAGACUCCUACGGGAGGCAGCAGUGGGGAAUUUUGGACAAUGGGGGAAAGCCUGAUCCAGCAAUGCCGCGUGGGUGAAGAAGGCCUUCGGGUUGUAAAGCACUUUUGUCCGGAAAGAAAUCCUUGGCUCUAAUACAGUCGGGGGAUGACGGUACCGGAAGAAUAAGCACCGGCUAACUACGU